AUUGAACGCUGGCGGCAGGCCUAACACAUGCAAGUCGAGCGGAUGACGGGAGCUUGCCCCUUGAUUCAGCGGCGGACGGGUGAGUAAUGCCUAGGAAUCUGCCUGGUAGUGGGGGACAACGUUUCGAAAGGAACGCUAAUACCGCAUACGUCCUACGGGAGAAAGCAGGGGACCUUCGGGCCUUGCGCUAUCAGAUGAGCCUAGGUCGGAUUAGCUAGUUGGUGGGGUAAUGGCUCACCAAGGCGACGAUCCGUAGCUGGUCUGAGAGGAUGAUCAGUCACACUGGAACUGAGACACGGUCCAGACUCCUACGGGAGGCAGCAGUGGGGAAUAUUGGACAAUGGGCGAAAGCCUGAUCCAGCCAUGCCGCGUGUGUGAAGAAGGUCUUCGGAUUGUAAAGCACUUUAAGUUGGGAGGAAGGGCAGUAAGCUAAUACCUUGCUGUUUUGACGUUACCGACAGAAUAAGCACCGGCUAACUCUGUGCCAGCCGCCGCCGUAA
rnacentral:rRNA from 1 species